GGGGUCGUAGCUCAAUGGUAGAGCACUUGCCUAGCAUGUGAGAGGCCCUGGGUUGGAUUCUCAGCCCUG
rnacentral:tRNA from 1 species